rnacentral:rRNA from 1 species
AUUGAACGCUGGCGGCAUGCUUUACACAUGCAAGUCGAACGGCAGCGCGGGGCAACCUGGCGGCGAGUGGCGAACGGGCGAGUAAUACAUCGGAACGUACCCAGAAGUGGGGGAUAACGUAGCGCAAGUUACGCUAAUACCGCAUACGUUCUACGGAAGAAAGUGGGGGACCUGCGGGCCUCAUGCUUUUGGAGCGGCCGAUGUCUGAUUAGCUAGUUGGUGAGGUAAAGGCUCACCAAGGCGACGAUCAGUAGCUGGUCUGAGAGGACGACCAGCCACACUGGGACUGAGACACGGCCCAGACUCCUACGGGAGGCAGCAGUGGGGAAUUUUGGACAAUGGGCGCAAGCCUGAUCCAGCAAUGCCGCGUGAGUGAAGAAGGCCUUCGGGUUUUAAAGCUCUUUUGUCAGGGAAGAAACGGCUGAGGAUAAUACCUUCGGCUAAUGACGGUACCUGAAGAAUAAGCACCGGCUAACUACGUG